CUUUUCUUGUUAAUUUUAUGAAGUAUAACCUGCCCAAUGAAUAAUUAAAUGGCCGCGGUAUUAUGACCGUGCAAAGGUAGCAUAAUCAAUAGUCUUUUAAUUGAAGGCUGGAAUGAAUGGUUGGACGAAAUAAUUACUGUCUUAGAAUUAUUAAAUUAGAAUUUAAUUAUUAAGUUAAAAAGCUUAAAUUUUUUUUUGGGACGAGAAGACCCUAUAGAGUUUAAUAUUAAUAAGAUUUAUAAGUUGUUAUUUAAUAUAAUAAAUUAUAUUAAUAUUUAGUUGGGGUGACUAGAAGAUAAAAAUAACUCUUUAAUAAUCAUAUAUAAAUUACUUAAUUUAUUAAUGAUCCAAUAUUAUUGAUUAUAAGACUAAAUUACCUUAGGGAUAACAGCGUAAUUUUCUUUAAGAGUUCAAAUCAACAAGGAAGUUUGCGA
rnacentral:rRNA from 1 species